CUCAGAUUGAACGCUGGCGGCAGGCCUAACACAUGCAAGUCGAGCGGAUGACGGGAGCUUGCUCCCUGAUUUAGCGGCGGACGGGUGAGUAAUGCCUAGGAAUCUGCCUGGUAGUGGGGGAUAACGUUCCGAAAGGAACGCUAAUACCGCAUACGUCCUACGGGAGAAAGCAGGGGACCUUCGGGCCUUGCGCUAUCAGAUGAGCCUAGGUCGGAUUAGCUAGUUGGUGAGGUAAUGGCUCACCAAGGCGACGAUCCGUAACUGGUCUGAGAGGAUGAUCAGUCACACUGGAACUGAGACACGGUCCAGACUCCUACGGGAGGCAGCAGUGGGGAAUAUUGGACAAUGGGCGAAAGCCUGAUCCAGCCAUGCCGCGUGUGUGAAGAAGGUCUUCGGAUUGUAAAGCACUUUAAGUUGGGAGGAAGGGCAUUAACCUAAUACGUU
rnacentral:rRNA from 1 species